rnacentral:lncRNA from 1 species
UCACGAUGAUGGUGAACUUGCGGUGGUAGGAUGGCAUCCUCUUUUCAAUAUGGUGGUAGGAUGACACCACAGUAGUGCUAGGUUUAACUUGUUGUGUUGUAUGGUCAUGCAUGCUUACUACUUCUCUUCUGUUCCAUUGUUUGUUGUGUGUGUGCUCCUUGGCAUACUGCUUGUGUGCUCCAUUGCUUGCUGCUUCAACUAUUGAUCUUAUG